GAGUUUGAUCCUGGCUCAGAUUGAACGCUGGCGGAAUGCUUUACACAUGCAAGUCGAGCGGCAGCGCGGUCUUCGGACUGGCGGCGAGCGGCGAACGGGUGAGUAAUACAUCGGAACAUGCCCAGUCGUGGGGGAUAACACUUCGAAAGAAGUGCUAAUACCGCAUACGUCCUGAGGGAGAAAGCGGGGGAUCGCAAGACCUCGCGCGAUUGGAGUGGCCGAUGUCAGAUUAGCUAGUUGGUGGGGUAAAGGCCUACCAAGGCAACGAUCUGUAGCUGGUCUGAGAGGAUGAUCAGCCACACUGGGACUGAGACACGGCCCAGACUCCUACGGGAGGCAGCAGUGGGGAAUUUUGGACAAUGGGGGCAACCCUGAUCCAGCCAUUCCGCGUGAGUGAAGAAGGCCUUCGGGUUGUAAAGCUCUUUCGGCAGGAACGAAACGGCGAGCUCUAACAUAGCUCGCUAAUGACGGUACCUGAAGAAGAAGCACCGGCUAACUACGUGCCAGCAGCCGCGGUAAUACGUAGGGUGCGAGCGUUAAUCGGAAUUACUGGGCGUAAAGCGUGCGCAGGCGGUUGUGUAAGACAGGUGUGAAAUCCCCGGGCUUAACCUGGGAACUGCGCUUGUGACUGCACGACUAGAGUAUGGCAGAGGGGGGUGGAAUUCCACGUGUAGCAGUGAAAUGCGUAGAGAUGUGGAGGAACACCGAUGGGCGAAAGCAGCCCCCCUGGGCCCAAUACUGACGCUCAUGCACGAAAAGCGUGGGGGAGCAAANCAGGAUUAGAUACUCUGGUAGUCCACGCCCUAAACGAUGUCGACUAGGUGUUUCGGUGAAGNANNNCUUCAUUGAGUANCG
rnacentral:rRNA from 1 species